CACACAACUGCAAGUUUUACUGGUUGAGUUGUUACGGCUGAGGCUGUGUAGGAGUUAGAACAAGGUUAUCUCAGUGAGUUUAAUAGAGCAGGGUGAAUUUUUUGCAUAGGUUUGUAUUUUACCCUGCAGAGUUCCCUCAGCCAACCUAAAAGGAGUGCUGGAGGAGUGUGGUGACUAAACUCCCUGGACAGAAAUAACAAAAUACUUCUGUGUGUGGACCAUUAAGCAAGACUAUUAGAAAUAUUCCCUCUGAUACUGGGAGAGUAUAUAAUGCUACACAGUGCUACAAAAAUGUUUCAUUCUUUGGUAUCAUGAUAUGGGGGCUGUGCAAGCCUUGACUCGAGUUAAAGCCUUGACUCAUCCUGGAGAGGAGGGAGUCGUUUUCCAGCUCAUACAGGGCUUCCCUUCGACUUCAGGUCAGACCAGAUAUAUCCUGUGUUCUGUGACUGACUCUCUUUUUGUGUCAGGACAAAGUCUAGAGCUGAAGGUUUUAAGUGGUGAGAGCUACAGAGAAACGAAUGAAAAGCUCCAGAUUUAGAUCUUCAGCCUCCUUUCAUGUAUCCACUACCACAAACUUCACGGUGUCCAAAACACUCCCACUACAGGAAACCACAUCAUGUUAAAUGGUUGCGGUCACUGCAUAUCCCCCUGUUGCACCUUUCUUGUCCUGUAACCCAUUCACUGUGCAGAUUCAUUUUAGUUGAUGUAGGAAGGGCUUUCCUCUGGAAAACUUGCAGUUCUGAUUUCUUCGACCUUUGACUCUGUUCAAGGCUUCUCUGCAGUCCAGGAAAUCUGAAGGUGACCACUGUCGCUCCACUGUGGCUCUGUGGCACAAAGUCUUUUGUCUUCUCCUUUCUCACAGCUGUCUGUGUGCUGACAACUGGCCCAGCUAGAGGUCACUUGAUAGCCAGGCCCUAGUCCUGCCCCUCUCCAUCACAACAUUGGUUUGGGUACAUCUGCAUGAUUAUGUUUGGGUGCAAGUUAAUUACUGAAAAUUCCUGGCCUCUGAGGCGAUUGGGACUAAUUAAGCCUCAUGCUCCCUUCAGCAUAGCAGUGGAUGCCAUAUAGUACUGCAUUCAUCUAAGAGCAAUGAAAACCUGUGUGGAUUGCCCAGUGCAAUUUCAGCUGCAGGGCAGGUCCAAUGGUUUCAGCAGUUACAAGCAAGCAGACCGGCAGUGGCUUCUAUCAGCAUUAAGGUAGCUGACCGACCAUGACAUGAAGAAAAGCACACGGUUCCACACAAGACUCAGCAAGGAAUAAAAGUCGUAGGCCCUCUCCCAUCUUCUCAUUCCUAGGUCAGAAAUAACAUCAAAUUACUUAUUAGUUAAUCAACCGACUGACUUCCUGUGAAUAACAAAAAUCAGGCAGGUUUGGAGGGUAGAACUAAUCUUUUCUUGUACAUGCUCAAGCCAUUAUGGGAACAACACCACCAAUAAAGGGAAAGGAUGGGCAAAUUUCACUGUGUAUACGGGGGGAGAGAAAGGUCAGUUCUUCGGAGAGUCUAAAAAGAAUGGCAUUUUUCAGGAGCUUGAUGAAACUGGGUGAGAUAAUGGAAGAGAAAGUCCCCAGAAAAUCCCUGUAUCUGCAGAAAAGCUCAGGUGUUCAUUUGUUCUUAUUAGUCCCUAGAGAAUCCACAUUGGGUUCUCAUUCUAUGGGACUCAACCUCAAACGCUUCAGUUGGAGCUUGCAUCUUUCAGAAAGUCCAUUAGUUAAUCUGUAGGAAAUCAGGCUUGAUGACUUUCAGUGCUCACAAGAACACUUGUGUUCUUUCUGGAACACAGGCAGGCAAAUUGCUGAGAUGACAAAGACAUCCGAUAUGUCUUCCAAGAAUGUCUCUCACCCUUUCACGAAUGUUUAAAUCUCUCCAUUUCCCCAAUGCAUGCUUAUUUGACAUUUUUAUAACUAGCAGGUGUUUUAUGUAAUUUUGUUGGUACCUCAGACUUACUCAAGAAGAUGAAAAAGGGUCUCUCUUUAUCUGGUCUACACCAAUUGACAUUAUCUCAAACCAUCUUCAAAUUUCUUUCCAUUCACCUCCAUAACUCUUCCUACAGGCUGUCCUCCAACUUGUCUUCAUAUCUCUAUAGUUAUCUAUUAGAAAGCUGUCACUUGGCCAGACUCUUUUUAAUGUGUUCUGUUGUCAAGAUUUGACACUUCAGUGAAGUGUAUUCAGACUCUUUUGAUCUCUAGAAAUUUUUUAUCGGUGAUGUGGAGCCUUUCAGAAAUUUCACAUGCACAGAUUGCUGUACAGCAUAUAUGAACUUGCUGUUCUCACUUGCCCUGCACAUAUCUGUUAGUAGCAGUCCAAGUAUCCCCCCCCAUACCGUCCAGAGAUUAUAGAUUGCACAGCUUUAACACAUCAAACUUGGGAUCCUGAAAUGUCAGUAGUGGAUGACUUACACUGUAGAAGAUAUCAGAGUAAAAGAUCUAACUAAAAGUAAAUGUAAAUUUGAAACUUAGCAGAUAGCUUGAGUCUCCCAUCAAAGAGUAGGAGUCUGGUUGUUGUGGAAGCCUUAACAGGACAUGAUUCCUAGUUAGGUCUACAGAGAACACUUAACGACCACAUCAGACAUUGAGGGAUUGCAGUUACCAAGAGAUGGAGAGAAAAAAAGCACCAAGGAGUUUCCAAAAAGCCCAUAUGAGAUUUGGAUGGCUGUAUUGUGUGAAGGGCCUAGGUCAGCCUUUGUGACCUGGGAGAAAAUUGUAGAGAAAUUGAGUCUGUGAUACCUUGCCCCCAGCCCAUAAACAAGCAUAGCUUUCUUUUCCUUUCUUAGUAUUGGUUGGAAACCUGGCAUUAAAAACAAAUGGAAAAGCUUCUGGGUUCCUCUGAUGUUGUAUGUUGGAAAUUGAGGGCUUUGUUGGCUUGACUGCCACUUCUGAUGAGUGGCUUACAUUGAAAUCACACAAGUCAGUAUGGUGAAAAUUGAGCAAGUGAUACAGAAAACAUAGUCCUUCUGUAAAAUUUGGUUUCAUUUAUUCAUCACUAGCACCUAUUUAAGUUCAAUAACAAAAUAGUUAUUUGGAUUAAUGUCAUCUUCAUUUACAGCAUUAGAGUUUACAGAAACAUCUGGCCUUACCCAUGUACAAUGCAUCCUAUAAGAAGUAACAAGGAAUACAGGAAUUCAGAUUUGUUGUAUUUCCAAGCAUAUAUGUUGGUUGGUUGUUUUCUGUAGAAUAU